rnacentral:rRNA from 1 species
ACGGGGGUUGCGAGCGUUGUCCGGAAUUACUAGGCGUAAAGGGCAGGUAGGCGGAUCCAUAAGUUUAAUGUUUAAGGCAACGGCUCACCCGUUGUAAGGCAUUAGAUACUGUGGAUCUGGAAUGCGGUUGGGGAAGACAGAAUUCCUGGUGUAGCGGUGGAAUGCGCAGAGAUCAGGAGGAAUACCGAAGGCGAAGGCAGUCUUCCAAGCCGUUAUUGACGCUAAACUGCGAAGGUGUGGGUAUCAAACAG